rnacentral:rRNA from 1 species
GGUUGAAGGUUGAGUAACAUCAACUGGAGGACCGAACCCACUAACGUUGCAAAGUUAGGGGAUGACCUGUGGCUGGGGGUGAAAGGCCAAUCAAACUCGGAGAUAGCUGGUUCUCCCCGAAAGCUAUUUAGGUAGCGCCUCGGACGAAUACUACUGGGGGUAGAGCACUGUUUGGGCUAGGGGGUCAUCCCGACUUACCAACCCCAUGCAAACUCCGAAUACCAGUAAGUAAUAUCCGGGAGACACACGGCGGGUGCUAACGUCCGUCGUGAAGAGGGAAACAACCCAGACCGCCGGCUAAGGUCCCAAAGUUCUGGUUAAGUGGGAAACGAUGUGGGAAGGCUCAGACAGCUAGGAUGUUGGCUUAGAAGCAGCCAUCAUUUAAAGAAAGCGUAAUAGCUCACUAGUCGAGUCGGCCUGCGCGGAAGAUGUAACGGGGCUCAAACCAGGCACCGAAGCCGCGGAUUCA